UACGUAGGGUGCGAGCGUUUAAUCGGAAUUACUGGGCGUAAAGUGUGCGCAGGCGGCCGAGCAAGUCGAGUGUGAAAAUCCCCGAGCUUAACUUGGGAAUUGCGCUCGAAACUACUUGGCUGGAGUGUGGCAGAGGGGGGUGGAAUUCCACGUGUAGCGGUGAAAUGCGUAGAGAUGUGGAGGAACACCAGUGGCGAAGGCGACUCUUUGGCCUGUAACUGACACUGAGGCGCGAAAAGCGUGGGGAGCAAACGGG
rnacentral:rRNA from 1 species